CUGGGUGUGGCGCAGCUUGGUAGCGUGCUUGAAUGGGGUUCAAGAGGCCGAAGGUUCAAAUCCUUUCACCCAGACCA
rnacentral:tRNA from 1 species